rnacentral:lncRNA from 1 species
CGCUCCCCCAAAGAAUGGGUCAAAUGUGGACAACAAAUUAAACAAAAACUAACAGGAUUUUAGCUUUUAACUUUAGCUGAAAUCUCCUUUUCAAAGGGACCAAUGGGACCGAUUGGGCUUAAAGGGGAUCAAGGUCCAACGGGAGUCCCUGGGGAUCCUGCCAAGGGCAUAAUCGGUCCAAUUGGAAAAAAGGGGGCCAGGGGAGACAUCGGUCCGGUUGGGCUUACAGGACCUCAGGGAGAAAAAGGAGUGAAAGGAGACAAAGGAGAAAAGGUUAAUAGUUGGAAAAUAUACACUUUUGUGUUUUACAUGUGAAAAUACAACAAAUUAACUUGAGUUGGGUUAUUUUAGAGAGUUCUUUUUUUAUGUGUUUAGGGAAGUCCUGGUUUUGGGAUUCCAGGUCAGCAGGGGCCCAAAGGAGAAAGUGGAGAGAGGGUAGGUCAAUGAUCCCCAUAAAGACACAUUCUGAGGAAAAUUGUGUUUUUUAACUUGUUCUUGUAGCAAAUUAGGCUUGAAAUUGCCUUU